rnacentral:rRNA from 1 species
GAUGAACGCUGGCGGCGUGCCUAAUACAUGCAAGUCGAGCGAACAGACGAGGAGCUUGCUCCUCUGACGUUAGCGGCGGACGGGUGAGUAACACGUGGAUAACCUACCUAUAAGACUGGGAUAACUUCGGGAAACCGGAGCUAAUACCGGAUAAUAUAUUGAACCGCAUGGUUCAAUAGUGAAAGACGGUUUUGCUAUCACUUAUAGAUGGAUCCGCGCCGCAUUAGCUAGUUGGUAAGGUAACGGCUUACCAAGGCGACGAUGCGUAGCCGAACUGAGAGGGUGAUCGGCCACACUGGAACUGAGACACGGUCCAGACUCCUACGGGAGGCAGCAGUAGGGAAUCUUCCGCAAUGGGCGAAAGCCUGACGGAGCAACGCCGCGUGAGUGAUGAAGGUCUUCGGAUCGUAAAACUCUGUUAUUAGGGAAGAACAAAUGUGAAAGUAACUAUGCACGUCUUGACGGUACCUAAUCAGAAAGCCACGGCUAACUACGUG